rnacentral:lncRNA from 1 species
CUAACUGCGCAGGUGAGAGGCCUGAUCAUUGGUUCAAAUCUUGCAUUGUGGCUUGAAUUUAGAAUUGCUGCAACACAAUUUAUUGUUCCCCUCUGUAGAUUUGAUUGAAGUCACUUCAAAGUUUGAUUCUGAUAGGCAUAGGCUCGACCUGGUUCAGCAUUGGGGAUUGAAACAUAAAACGGGUCAAAUAUCAGGACGAAGGAUAGAAAAUUAGAUGCCAAUAAGUCCAGGGUUGCAUGCAAUCCCAACAUUUUCUUACUAACCAUAUGAAUGCAGGGACCUAGCUUGUUUAACUGUAUAUAUGAUGCAUAUUGAUAUAAAUGUUUAUCAUAAUAUGAUUGCAUAUAUACAUGAUGGAGGUAGAGGUUGUGUAUUUAUCAAACAUCUUGACACAGUUGGAUAUGGGUAAGACUGCAGACUGUUCAUAGGAAUAUAAAAAGAGAACAUUCAUCAAAUAUGCUUCAUCUUGCACAUUCUUGGAUUGUGUUUCUAGAGUUCAUCUGACAGUCAUUUGGUGAUUGGUUCAAUUCUUUGACAGUUGACGGACAUGGCUAAAAGAGUACCCGAACAGUCAUAUACAGGCACAAUAUCCCAUUCACAUGCUUAUUGUAGCUGAAACUGAGAGUUGUUUGACCAGGCCACCUUAUCUUGAUCAUGAGUAUACUAACCAACAUAUUAGUUCCAAUUUUGUAAGGCAAGAGUGAAGGAACAACUGGAAUUUAAAGCGGAUAGUGACUGACUGGACAGCAACCUGAGGUGUAAAUGCUUUUUCGCUCAUCUGGUUGAGUUGAACAUAACAAUCCUUCAUUUUGACAUCACCUUGGAAGGAUGAAAUAUAGAGAAAUAGCCAAUAGGAAACAGGAAAGUAAAAAAAAACAUUAGAUGAGAAGCAUACAAUAUUGUUAACUAAUGUAAAUAUUUUGACUUAUUAGAUGAAAAAGUUGUUGUAUCCUUGAGAGAAGAUGGUUUUGGAAUUUUUUUUUUUUUUUUUAAAGCACUUGCAAAUUGCAUGUUUUAUUCCUUCCUGUUCUCAAAGGUAAAAAUAGCUUUUUGGCUCCCAAGAUCCUCUUAUUAUGUGACUCGAAGACCGGUCUGGAACUUCGGUGGCACAGUUUAAAGCAAAAGCUUAAACAACGGUUAGAAGCUUAUCUAUACAUUAAAUGAAUUUAAUAUAUAUAUAUGAAUGAGUAGUUUUUCAAUUACGAAUCUCUGAUUUUAUUAUCAGCUAAAAGAUUAAAAAAUUUAGAUUUUAAUGCACUACAUAAUAAAAUAUAGUGCAUUAAAAUUUAUGUUUAUUUUAUCUUUUAUUUAAUUACUUAAAGUCAGGAACCUCUAAUUAGAAAACUAUUAAUAUAUAUAUAAAGGAUUUUAGUUUUUGGGCUAUUUUUUGCUUGCCCCAAAUGUUUUUAAAAAUUUUGGGGACACCCUAAUCUUUUAACAACUAUCAUCGCACAUUCUAAUUAGUAAAUUUUUACCAUUAACUUUGAUGGAAUUGUCAAUUAUUUGAGUAAAAGACUUGUUUGCUCUUUAUUUCAAAUGUUGUUAUUGAAAUAUGAAGAUGCAGAUGAGGAAGAUGUGUCUUCUUAAAAGUUUUUCUUCUUUACUCGAAGCUAGUGGAAGGAAAAGUUCAUUUGAUUAUUUGAUUGGAUGUGGCAAAGUCUGUUGCAAUCACAACACUUCCUCAAGAAACCGUGCAACAAUUGAAGGGGAUGGAAUUUUCAGUUAUUUGAGAAAUUUUGAAAAAAAAAAAAAAAUCCUCGGUCAUUCGUUUCAAAUGUUAUUUUUACCUGAGCAAUGAUACAGUGCUGUGGUCAAUCCCACCUUGACCCCGAAGCCUACGACGUUGUCUCAAUCUUUAAAUCCAAACGGCACUGUUUAACCCAACGCAAGCGCGAACGAAAUAGCACACCAAUGUUUAAUCAUCCAAGGCCUCUCAACCAAACCAAUCUUCUCAUUUUCCGAACGAAAUAGCUAAUCGAAUUCGCCAAAUCAUUUUAUCCACCAUGCUGGAACGCCUGAAAACUAGCAAAUCAAUUAAUUUAACCAAGUGAAAUCAUACUCAAAUCAACCGAUCGGGUUUGUUUUCUGGCCGUAGUACGAGAGGUGUGUGGGUGCUCCGUGAUAUGGGGGCGUAGAUGUUUGGUGGCGGUGCUUGUGGUCACGAACUGACGAUGGUGAUGGCGGAUGAAAUUGGAAUUCAGUGAACACAUUUCAUAGCUCAAAUUUUAAGAAAGUAGAAUGACGACUGAAACUUUUUAAAGACUUUAACUGAUUUCGACUUUUAUUAAGAAGCAUGCUCUUUUUGUCGAAGUAGAUCCAAUUCAAGUCAAAAAGUCUUCCCAGCAUGAGGGGCAUGAAAAUUGAGCAUGUAUUAUAUAUACGUCAUCAGAGUUGAAUUAAGGUUCCAAAAUCUUCCACUCAACUUUGCGAAACCUGGGUUUCGUUAAAUGACGUGAAUCAACACGUGGCUAAAAUCUAGUCCUUGAAUCACCCAUUUCCG